UACGUAGGCAGCGAGCGUUGUUCGGAGUUACUGGGCGUAAAGGGUGUGUAGGCGGUCCUCUAAGUUUGGUGUGAAAUCUCCCGGCUCAACCGGGAGGGUGCGCCGAAAACUGGAGGGCUAGAGUGCGGGAAGGGAGAGUAGAAUUCCUGGUGUAGCGGUGAAAUGCGUAGAUAUCAGGAGGAAUACCGGUGGUGCAGACGGCUCUCUGGACCGCGACUGACGCUGAGACACGAAAGCGUGGGUAGCAAACAGG
rnacentral:rRNA from 1 species